rnacentral:lncRNA from 1 species
GCGGAGAUGGCGAGCUCGGAGCUCAAAGUCGGCCUUUCGGUAAGCCGGGUGCUUUGCAGACGCGCGCAAGGUGUUCGACGGAAUGACCGCUGGUCCUCGGGUGCUGCUGGGAGGAGGGGCGGUCUCAGGAGGUUAACGCCUUGGUGAUUGCCAUGUGGGGGCAGGGUUUCCGCCUGGACAAUGGGUUGAAAGCCAAAUGUUUCCGGGAUUUGCAAGGUAGUAGAGACAGAGGUGUGGGCAUUCCAGCUUUCUCAAUCUCAAGUGUUAUAAGCCUAAGCAUAUAUGUCCACACUCCUAUGAUUCAGAUUGUACUGCAAAGAGGGUCAGCUUUCUCAACCUGAGUUGUGUGGUAGGGAAGGACAUUGCGUGGGCAUGUGCAGUAAGCUCCUGUUUGGUUGUGGGCGAAGCUGCCCUAGGCCAUAGAUUUCGGUUGCCUGGUGACUGGGAUUCAUGCCUGUUGGGUGAGCUGCCUGACAGACCACCAAUGAAACACACCCUAAGUAUACUAGACACAACGGACAGAGUAGAGGAUGCAGCUCUGGUCGUACCUUAGAAUUGACGAAUAAGACCAAGUUGGAUGGUUUUCUUCUCAAUUUUUACACACGUGGUUUGUAAGAAUGCACAGAUUCAAGUAAUUGCAGGGUGAUCCUGAUGGCCACUAGUCAAGUCUGCACUUUGAUAUGGUGGCAUACUGGCAUACACCAUCCCUAUUGUUCUAUAUACAGAGAAUAGAAGCAAAUGAAAGAAAGCCAAAACCUUUCGAGAAUUCUUAAACUGAUAUAUUGGCAAGCAAGCAAAUCUGUAUCCCCGUGAUUGCAGGUAAUCUCAACUUGUACCAUUGUAUCUUGCGCUUAUUCCUAGCAGUGUAGUUUUUUCAGAGGCAACUCAGGAGCGUAGGCUUUAACUCUAGAAUCUUAAGGCUGAUGGAUACAUGGUUAAAACAUUUCAAUUGUCAUAUGGACAAACUUCAACCCGUCUUAAUGUUUGAAACAUUAUGCCUUAAUUUGUUCUUAAAAAACACUGCCUUAAUUCUUCACCAUAAAAUGUUCUAAGUAGAGGUCAUGGAAUUUAUUGCUGCUUCCGUUUUUCAUUCUUUAUGGAACCGUAGUUGCUAGAUUUUCUACUCCUGAUUAUAUUUUUUCACAUUGUGUUUGUGUAUGAUGUUCCCUUUUAUAUAGCUCCCAUAUUUUCUUGUUAUCAGUCAAGUACAGGAAAUAUCCUUUCAUAUUCUUUUUCAUGUUUGCAAAUUGCGCACAAAGUUCACUUAACCUGGUCAUUCUGCAGAUCUGAAACCCUACAAACUAUAAUUUUAACUCCUCCCGGCUCCUCUUCCUUCAGAGCCUACAUCUUUUUCUCUGUUCUUCAGUGGUUAUUGGAGGUGUUCAGGAUGUAGUAACUAUGACUCAUGCUAGAAGUAAAUUUGAGCCCAAAUUCAUUCACAGGUAAAUUUGUCUGUAAUUUUCUUAUGCUUUAUUGAGAACCAUUGUUCUUUGCUAUGCAUAUUUUUGGGAAAUUACUUAUAGUUGUGCAGAUUAUAUUCAGAAAUAUUCAGAACAGGAUAACAGGGAACCACAGUUUCUUUUUUAUUCUGCAACUGCAAUAAAAUAUUACUGGUAUUGAAGGACAUUUUGGACCAAUUAAUGCAAUGGCAUUUGAUCCUUAUAGAUAUUUUAGACCAAUUUAUAUCAUCUGCUUCUUUAUUCAGUAAUUUAUUUAAAUUUUGUAUAUACUUCAAAAUCUGGAUUCUUUAUUUAGUUUUUGAUAUACAAUCAUAACUGAAUAUACUCCCAGGUAUCAUUCUCUUACAGGUGUACAUCAUGAUUAAAUGUGCUCAUCAUCAUAAUAUGGCCUACACCAAGGUAGUGACAUGCUCUCAGAGCUAUGCUAAAGCAACAAUAAAUGUUCACAUAGAAUGGCCAGAUGGAUACAUUAUCUGGCAUGUUCGUUGACAAAUUGAAAUUGCUGCAACUUAUUUCUGAGCAGAGGAGAGGACCAAGUCCUCGUUUACCCCCAAGGCAGUGCUCUUCUCCAUUUCAUGACAGCUGAGGCGAAUUUCAUCCAUAGCUUCUGGAAGUCUGAAUUAUUAUUGGAAGCAUAACUGCUUGUUGCACAUUUCUGCAAGGAUUGUUCCCACGUCCUCUUCAACGCCGUUGUUCACAAGUUUAAUCGUAUGCCCAAGGUCUGCAAUCUGGCUCCUCAUAGUGCCUAGUGUUGCCUUAACGCUGCGACUGUUGAUGUACCAGGGGUCGUAGCGGAGGGUCACUUGCUCCAGGCCCAGCAGGUUGGAGAUACCUGAUGGCUUGCUCUCCUUACCGACAGGGCCAGUGGAAAGUAUGAGAUCAAGGUCUGUUAGCCUUGGCAUGGCUCCUAUGCUGAAAUCCAGCCAUGGCACCCGGCAAUGGACAGAGAGCCUCUGCAGCUGAUGAAACCCCUCAUGUCCAAUAGAUAUGACUUCCUCUGGAAGGAAAUCCAAGUAUAGCACAAGUCUCUCCAAACUUUCCAAACUCCCCAAUAGAUUUAUAUCAUGAGGAGCUAACUUGCAGACUAUGAUAUCCAAGAAAACAAGGUGGUUCAGCCCUUCGAUCCAUUUGGGUACAGUUAGAAACCUUGCGGUUAUCCUGAGAUGCUGCAGGCUCUGAGGGGCAUCAGGCAGUGAAUCCAGAAACUCCAUGGAGCAACCCACUUCACAGUGAAUCGUCAGGGACUUGAGGCAGACUGAUCUUUGGAUAGCUAAUCGUAAAGCUCUUUGGUAUUCCUCAUCGUAGCACUGGCGGAAAGACCAGGUGACUGCAAGCACCUCUAGGAAUCGAAGCUUAGCAAGUUCUUGGAUAAAGCUCGUGGAGCAUUUGUUUAAAUCAACAGUUUCUAGUGUCUCUAAGAACCUCCAAUCCACAAUAUCCUCUGCCACGGCUGUCACUGUUUCAUCCGGUGUGUCACCAUUAAUGAGGAGAUGCCUCAAGCCGGGCAGCCGAGAAGUCUCAUAUCUGGACAGGCACCUUACUUGUGUGCUUCUUAGGUCUAAGGCCCGUAGCUCUGGCAGCUCCAACACUUCAAAUGGGAGUUCGCUUAUCUGUGUGUGACUUAUAUCCAAAGUCUCAAGGCACUCCAGCUUAGCGAUCUGUUGUGGCAGCUUGCUGACCCGGGUGUUUCUGACACUCAGAUACUUGAGCAGAAAGAAUUUGCUGCUGCAUAUCUCCACCAGAUCAUCAUUGUCCAACUUCUCCCAGCCUUCAAGAUCCAAGACCACCAGAUGAACAAACUUGUUAAAAGGGAUCCGGUUUGCCACACCGGAGACUUUCAGUGAACGGGUGUGAGAAAAGUCCAUUCUUUCUAGCAUCAGUGGAAGCUCUGGAUCGGGAUGGUGGAGGGACAGCCGUUGAAGUUUCCAUGCCUCGUUGUCACCUUCAGCUGCCGCCAGGGCCUUAAAGUUGAUAGUUUGGCUCAUCAUGGCCAAGUUCUUGUGUGCCGAUACGGAGGCAAGGAACAGGUGCAUAAAAUGAUCUACCUGGUAGCAGUCUACCACCUCAGAAGCAUAUCCGCGGUCCAUUGGCCUAAUGAUGCCCCUAUCGAGAAGCUUGCUAAAGUGCUCUUCUGCCAUUUCAUCAGGUGCUGUCCACAUGUCAGGUGCAAUCAGCCCUUCGGCUCCCCAUUUCCUGAUGAGGCGGUGCCUGUCAAUUAUGUAGCCCCUAGGUAACGUGCUCAUGUAUAGGGAAAGAAGCUUGAGCUCGUUAGGAAGAUCGUCAAAGCUCGGAGACAGUGCCUCUUCUGCCAGUAUGAGUUCAGGGAUUUGUUCCAGCCAACAUGUUGCCGUCUUGUCCAACCCAUCUGCUUGAUUUUGUCUCGUGGAGGUGGAGAUGAAGCCAGCCACCACAAUGAUGAACAACGGUAUGCCAGCACACCUCCUUAGGAUCUCAUCUGAAGCCUGCCUGAAAUGGUCGGAUGGGCAGCUGCCCCCAGAGCCAAAGGCUACCCUAGAGAACAGCCGUUCAGAAUCUAGUUCGCCCAGAGGCUUCACCUCAUGCAGAAGCCCGUCUCUGCCCCAUCUUUUUCGCGAGUUGGGAUGCCCAUCCUUGUCAGAAGAACACGAGCGAGCUAUGCUUCUAACACGGGUCGUUAUCAGUAUCCGGCUGCCACAUUUGUUAUGUGGGAAAGCGUCCUGGAUGAUCUCCCAAUCCGUCUCUCUCCACAGGUCGUCAAUUAAAAUGAGAUACCUGUGCCGGCAAGCAUUGCAAAUGAUCAAUAAUAUACAUUGCUCCACACUGGAGGCUUAUCUUGUGCAGAUGAAAGGAACAGCGUCAGGAUGAAGCAUUGAUUGCAUACCUCUUAUCUUCGAGGAAUUUCUUCAGAUCGUACGCCAGCUCGUGCUCGUCACCCUCCAACGCGGCUAUGGUCUCUGAGCAUUUGGGCGUCUCUGGUGCUGCUGAAUCGAUGAUUUGUGACAUGAUGUGCUUGAGAAGCUUGCCGGUGUCAGGCGGCUGCCGAGACAUCCUUGCCACAGCAUGGCACUGAAAGUGUUGCUCCCCUGUUCGGCGGUACAGCUCCAUGGCCAGCGUCGUCUUGCCCACACCGGCAGGCCCAACGAUUGAGAUGACUCUCAGGGUGCUGUUCUCGUCUUGCUCGCCAUUGGCGGCUGAGACCAGCCAUCUGAGCAACUUCUUGCUCGGGCCGUCGAUGCCAAUAAGAUGGGGGUUUCCUUUGCAGCCAGGCUCAGGCUCAGGCUGCAGCAGCAGCUCAGGGUGGUUGUCAUUAUGCUUGCUUGGCAGAACAGUCAUCCUCAUAUCUGAGCCACCAACUGUAUGAGUAUGACCACCAGCAAAACCGUCAGCCAGCAGGAGCUGUUCUAUCCAGGCGAGGUUCAGCUCCGGAAGCUCUGCAGCCCGACGGGGAGCGCGGCCAGCGUUGAGGAUGCCCUGUAUCCGGUCGGCGAGGUCUCUCAGGUGCGCCAGCUGGUCCUUGAUGGGGUCAAUAUGAUGGUCCUGUUCCUGCCCUAGCACUGCCGACACGGCAAGCUGGCGCAGCGCAGCGACGAUGGUGCGCAGCUCCUUCUCCAAGAAGGCGAGGGCACGCUGGUCGCCAUCCUCAACUGUGAUGUGCCCAGGACGGACCUUCGAACGAGAUACCAACUCAGAGAUCCUUCCAGGCAAGCAGGCACAAAGCCAGCGGUAGGGCUAGGGGGGCUCCAGCCCCCCCUACCGCUGCUGGCCUAGUGAAAUUUCUAGUGUUUUUCUUUUAAUUUUAGACAUAAAUUUAUAAAGUAGGGUGGGCUGAGAACUUUUUUUUUUUAGAUAUAUUUUGUGAAUUUCAUUAUUGGUCUAUAUUUUUAAUCUAAGACUACUUUAAACUAAUAUAUUUUUUUAUUACGAGGGAUAAUAGUAGAGCUAGGUCGAUGUAGAAUUUUUGUUCAGCUCCCCCUAAAUUUUUUUCUGGCUUCGUCCCUGCAGGCAAGGGAUCCAUCAGCUCCAGUACCUUCAUCAUUUCCUCCUUCACCACCACCGCUGCCUUCCUUGCCGCUGCAGUCUCCCUCUUUUGCUGGAGCUCGCGUGCUUUCGCUCGCACCCGAGCUCGCACAAGCGCUAUCUCUCUAUCAUUUUUCUCAUCUCCCUCUGCAAGUAGUCUCCGAAUCUCUUUCUCGUCAUCAUCGUGUCUUGGAAGAGAAAUAUGAGACAAGUUUGCCGACAUCUCUGUGUCUCCCUCUUUCUCAUCCAGUGUCUUCAUCUAUUCUUCCCCCAGCAGUACAAGUUUGGGACAAUCUUGGCGAGGAUGAUGUUCUGGAGGCUGGAGAGGUAGAGCUAUAAUCUCUUGUUUAAAGUACAGUUCGACUCAGGACCUACACAUCAGGUAUCCAUCCACCCACCUACUAGUCACGUCACAUGGGUUGUUUAUAUAUCCCCUGUCUAACUUGCCGUUCUAACUUGCCUUAUUAACUAAAAUUUAUCUAAUUUUUACUAAUUUAUUUAUAGAAAAAAAGUGGAAUGUGUAAGAUGGGUCUUUAAACUUUUUCCACACUCUUAUCCAGUGUUCUAAAUCUCCGGAUAUAAGGUUAAGCGGCAACCUGGUCGAUCUGCCAUAGCCGCAUUAUCAUCGCUAUUUAUCUACUAAUAAUCACUGGUCAAUCCUCAUCCACACGUUCCUAAUAAAGCUUCACUCUUUAUUUACUAGAUGAUAACUUGUGUGUUGCUGCAGAAAUUCUAUAGCAUUGUUUAUAAGAGAAUUUAUAGAGUGGGAAAUAAUAAAAUUAUAAAAAGUAUUCUAUGUCUAAACUGAUGACUCCCCAUUAUAUUAGACUUCUCGUUUGACCAAUCACACAUGUACUUUCGCUCUUUAUUAUGAGGCAUGGUUGUAUGGAAUAUUCCUGUGUUAGACAUGUUAACAUGAAAUUGUAUAUACUCCUACUCAGAUAACAUUUUGUGUAUCGGCGAGUCUGCAUCGGUAAAGGAAGCAGGCAGCUUCACCAAAAAAAUAUCUUUCCAUCCUUGUUCUUGUUGGAUUUGUCUCUUAUGGUGGGCCUUUUCCGAAUUGCAUCAUGUCUAGUGCCCCUAACAGCCUUCUCCCUCAGAUUCCGAUCGCCAAAUGAGUGAUGCGGCUUGGUGCCAUCUUUCAGCAUUUUGUAUUUUUCUGCUCUGGCUCAGGAACAAUGAUUGAUGCAGCUUGGUGCUAUCUAUGACGCAACUGGAUAACUGAUGUCACAGCUUGUAUAACUUAGGAAAAAAAUCCAUAUUAUUCCCUCCAAGUUUGGCCUAUGUUUAAAUAAUCCUCUAAACUAACAUUUGGUUUAAUUUAUUUCCUCCAACUAUUUCAGUUUGUCCAACCAACACGUUAAAGAGAUUGUUAUUUUUUAUUUCUCUAUGUACAAAUUAUAUUUUAGUUUCAAAUUUUAUGAGGUGAUAAGAUAUAUUGUAUUUUGUUUUAGAAUAUGCACUAUGGAUUUUUCAUCAUUAUGUUUUAUAUGAUAUUGUAUCUCUAGUGUUGAUUUCCUGUAAGUAAAAUGCAUUGAUAGUUCAUUAAUUUGUGAGGGUGUGUCGAUUUGGUUCAUCAGCUUUGAAAGUGCAUUUUUUAAGUCCAAAACCUUAAUCAACGGUGCAUAAAGAGUCGAUACCCUCCUUCGUUUGUUCUACGUUUAUAUUUGUAGAAAAUCCUUGUAUUUUAUUUUCUUUCACAAGCUUAAUUACUCUUCCUUGUGCUAGGCGCUGAGGCGGAGCCUGCACCCAUGCCGUCGGCCAACGACUCCUUCCAGGCUGCAUCCAUCGCUGCCAUCCUCGCCAUGUUCGGGUGGCACGCAGCGGCUGUCAUCUACGAGGACUCGUCCUACUGGUAGUGGUCGGGCAUCUUGUCGUUGGAGCCUAUUCUGAUAGUUCCUAUUCUGCCGCCACCAACGCCAACCAACAGAUGGAAGAGGAAGCAGAACGCUGCAUCCUUGGCACUGUUAGUAUAAAAAGAAUCUAUUUAGGCCUUGUUUAGUUCCCAAAAAAUUUUACAAAAUUUUUCAGAUUCUCCGUCACAUUAAAUAUUUAGACGCAUGCAUAGAGUAUUAAAUAUAGACGAAAAAUAAAAACUAAUUGUACAGUUGGGUCGGAAUUGACAAGACGAAUCUUUUGAGCCUAGUUAAUUCAUGAUUGGACAAUAUUUGUCAAAUACAAACGAAAGUGCUACUAUUCCUAUUUUGCAAAAUUUUUUGAAACUAAACAAGCCUAAGAAACAUGAUUUUAUAUUUUAUAUAAUCUAUUAGUAGUAAGGCCCUGUUUAGUUUCUCUUG